UACGAAGGGUGCUAGCGUUGCUCGGAAUUACUGGGCGUAAAGGGCUCGUAGGCGGCCAACUAAGUCAUACGUGAAAUCCCUCGGCUUAACCGGGGAACUGCGUCUGAUACUGGAUGGCUUGAGAUUGGGAGAGGGAUGCGGAAUUCCAGGUGUAGCGGUGAAAUGCGUAGAUAUCUGGAGGAACACCGGUGGCGAAGGCGGCAUCCUGGACCAACACUGACGCUGAGGAGCGAAAGCGAGGGGAGCAAACAGG
rnacentral:rRNA from 1 species